UUCCAAAGUGCCAGGAUUACAGGUGUGAGCCACCACACCCGGCCUACUGUGUCAUUUUAUGUCAGGGACUUGAGCAUCCUCGGAUUUUGGUGUCCUCAGAUCUUGGUGUGCUGGAGCCCAUGGAUCCUGAGAGACAACUGUAUUUUCAUCACCUCCAGAAGAAACCCUGUGUCCUUUAGCUAUCCUCCCAUAGUCUCCCAAACUUCCCAGUCCUAGACAACCAUGAAUCUAGUUUCUGUCUUGGCCUGGGAACAACGGCAUGUUUCCCUGAGUGACGCCUCAGCUUUAGGACUGAGUGCUUGGUGCAAGGGUCCACAGUAGCCUCUGGUCUCCCUGGUUUGCCUCUCCCAGCACGGAAACUCUGCCUCAGGAGCCAGGACAGGCCAUCAGGGUGCCAGUAUUCACAUCCCAGGAUGGGGCCCGGGUAGGGCCUCCAUCCCACGAGGGGGCAGGAGGAUGAAGGGAGCCCCCAACUCUCGCCUGUCCCUGCCCAGAACUUAGCCUCAGCAACAGGAACUGGGGGCAGGAGGAGAAAUGCUGGCAUGCUGCUUCUCUUGGGAAGGCAGCCCUCCCACUGGGUGCUGGGGAAGACAGAGCCCUGCGCCCUUGGCUGCUCCGUUCUGGAGUGGAGUUUCUGUCUUGCUGCGCUGGAGGUCAGAAGUCCAAAAAUCAGUCUCAUUGGUCAAAGUCAAGGCGUCAGCAGGGCUGGCUCUUCUUGGAAGGGCUUGGGGAGAAUCCAUUUCCUUGUCCUUUCCAGCUUCCACAGACCAGCUAUGUCCUAGAUUCAUGGCUCCUUCCUGCACCCUCAUGGCCAGUGGUGUGGCAUCUCCUCUCCUCUCUGAGCUCCCGCUUCCCUCUUAGAAAGACCUUUGUGAUGACAUUGGGCCCAUCCAGAUUGGCCAGGGUCAUCUCCCCAACUCCAGAUCCUUACCUUAAUCCCAUCUGCAAGGUUCCUUUCGCCACGUAAGCUAACAUAGCCACAGGUUCUGGGGAUUAGGACAUGGAUGUCUUUGAGGGGGACCAUUAUUCUGGUGGAAAGUAGGAGAGAAACAAAGUGGUAGCCUCCAGCUGAGAGGCAGAUGAGUCUAAUUCCCAUCUUGGCUCAUCCGCGGACCCAGCCAGGAGCAGCACAGGAUGUUUCCUGUCCUGUGGGACUGCCUCUCCCCAAAACCCCCUCACCACCCUGUUGGAGUUCCACCUUCACCCAUGCUGUCAGCAGAGACUCUUGCUUUGGGUCUCCCCGAGCCUGGAUAACAAUAACUCCUAUUUAUGAACACCUACUGUGUGCCAGAUAUGGUUGGGCUAGAAGGUUUCCAACACUGUCUUGAAGCCACGUAAGUACUCUUCAAGAAGACAGUAUUGUUCUCAUUUUAGAGAAGAAGAAUCCAAGGGUUAGGAGUGUGACUCGCCUACCUCAUGUGGUCAGAAAAAAUGGAUGAGUAAGGAUCUGUGGUGGUUUAAAAACAUGUCCACAGAUUUUUUGGUGCUCCACCCUUCCACAGACCAAGCCUCAUUCUCCUGCUCCCAAGGGUGGUUGUAACUGGUCGUUGGCUUCUAGAGAAUGUAGAGAUGAGUGCAGAAUCUGGCAGAGAUGACGGCCUGUGGCAUCUGAGAGUAAGACAUCAAAGGAACUGUAGCUCCCUCCUUGUCUUCUCUCUCAGAUCAUCAGCCUGGGGGAGCCGAGUGCCCUAUUGCAAGGGCACUCACACAGCCCUGUGGAGAAGCCCACCUUGCAAGCUUCCUGCCAUGUGAGCCAAGUUGGAAGCGGAUCUGCCAGCCCCAGUCAAGCCUUCCAGUGAUGGCAACCUUGGCCAACAUCCUCACCUUGACUGCAACCCAUGAGAGCCUCUGAGCCAGAACCAUCCAGCUAGGCUGCUUCCGAAUUCAUGACCUACCAGAACUGUGAAAUACUGAAUGAUGCCACCUCCAAAACGAUCAAGUUAGGUCAUGAUGUCUUUGGAAGGCUGGGAGAAGCUGACGUG
rnacentral:lncRNA from 10 species